GGUUCCCCUUACAUGCAUCUGAAGGAAUAGGACUCACGAAAGCAGAGAGUAGAGUGCCGGUUGCCGGCGGGGGCAGGAGGGAAAAUGAAGAGUUGCUGCACAGUGAAGAUAAGUUUCCAUCAUGCGAGAUGAUUAAGUUGUAGGUGUUCGCAGAACAGCCCUGUGCCUGUAGCGAACAAUAUUGUAUCGUGCACUUCAAAAUUUGUUAAAAGGGUAGAUCUCAUGUGUUCUACGACAGCAACAAAACAGGCAAACAAACAAAAUGAAAGAAGCACCAAAAAAAAGUUCACAGAAACAGAACUAAUGAAGAAUGCAAGCUGACUUAGCCUCAUUCAACAGCCCCUGUAUCUCUUGAAAUAAAGUCAAGCUUCUUUCAGAAUGUUCCAUGA